GCUGUCUUCAAGCAACGUCUCAAUUUUCUUGAAGGACAGCUCGCAAAGGAAGGAGCGGCUUGCACUUUCACAGUCUUGGACAACAGACAGUGGCUGGAAG
rnacentral:lncRNA from 11 species